CGACGCUCCUCCAGCUGCUCAAUGGGGCUGUCCUCCGGAAAUUCAUAAGGGGUGCUGCGCAUCUCACUCUCUGCCAGAGUCAAUGGAUUGUUUCAAGGCCACUGGGAUCCCAGGCAAGGAAUGCUGGGAAGUGAGGAGGUGGCGGGCACCUCGGAGAUCAGCUGGAGAUAAAGAGGAGAAAGAGGGAAACUCAUGAAAUAAGAAACAAAACAUUCUGCAGAAGAUGGUUCCCCUGCCAGUGGGCCUUUACACAACAGUGGAGGUCUGAGGUCAGCGCCUCAAGACACAAUGGACCAUUGGGGUGGAGCGCCGGCAGCGCACAUACCGGCUAAUACCGUCCAUUGUUGACAUUUCAAGACUCAAGUUUUAGACAAACACAGUUGUCAUGCAAAGGACCCAAAAAGAAAAAGAAGGCGGUGGUCAUUGAAAAAGACAAAGACGGCGGGCUGGAGAGUGGAUGCUCGGCGAGGAGGUUGUCAGCAGCGAUGAAGAAAACAAAGAACUGAACCAUUCGUCUUUAAGAAACAAAUGGUUAGGAGAGACAAUGCUUUUGUUUUCCCUCUGGGUGUAUAUUUAGCAGUCUGUCUGCAGUGAUAUUCAUCUUAGACACCUGCCACUGAAAUAUUCAUCAUCCUGUUGAAUAUUUCAUCCUGUGUGUGCUAGAGUGUCAUUGAUCCUGCUCUCUGUCAGCAUGUAUUGACCCAAGACAGAAAAAGGUCAAAGAAGGCCCGCUGACUGUCGUCUGUGUUGUUCCUGAUUUAUAUAAUAAUAAUAAUAAUCUUGCUCUAUGUGAACAAUAGAGGAUC